rnacentral:rRNA from 1 species
GAUGAACGCUGGCGGCGUGCCUAAUACAUGCAAGUCGAGCGAACAGACGAGGAGCUUGCUCCUCUGACGUUAGCGGCGGACGGGUGAGUAACACGUGGAUAACCUACCUAUAAGACUGGGAUAACUUCGGGAAACCGGAGCUAAUACCGGAUAAUAUAUUGAACCGCAUGGUUCAAUAGUGAAAGACGGUUUUGCUGGCACUUAUAGAUGGUUCCGCGCCGCAUUAGCUAGUUGGUAGGGUAAAGGCUUAUCAAGGCAACGAUGCGUAGCCGACGUGAGAGAGUGAUAGGCGACACUGGAACUGAGACACGGUCCAGACUCCUACGGGAGGCAGCAGUCGGGAAUCUUCCGCAAUGGGCGAAAGCCUGACGGAGCAACGCCGCGUGAGUGAUGAAGGUCUUCGGAUCGUAAAACUCUGUUAUUAGGGAAGAACAAAUGUGUAAGUAACUAUGCACGUCUUGACGGUACCUAAUCAGAAAGCCACGGCUAACUACGUG